rnacentral:rRNA from 1 species
CCUACGGGGGGCUGCAGUGGGGAAUAUUGGACAAUGGGGGGAACCCUGAUCCAGCGACGCCGCGUGAGUGAGGAAGUAUUUCGGUAUGUAAAGCUCUAUCAGCAGGGAAGAAAGAAAUGACGGUACCUGACUAAGAAGCCCCGGCUAACUACGUGCCAGCAGCCGCGGUAAUACGGAGGGGGCAAGCGUUAUCCGGAUUUACUGGGUGUAAAGGGAGCGUAGACGGCGAUGCAAGUCUGAAGUGAAAGGCGGGGGCCCAACCCCCGGACUGCUUUGGAAACUGUAUGGCUGGAGUGCAGGAGAGGUAAGUGGAAUUCCUAGUGUAGCGGUGAAAUGCGUAGAUAUUAGGAGGAACACCAGUGGCGAAGGCGGCUUACUGGACUGUAACUGACGUUGAGGCUCGAAAGCGUGGGGAGCAAACAGGAUUAGAUACCCUGGUAGUC